rnacentral:rRNA from 1 species
ACUCCUACGGGAGGCAGCAGUGGGGAAUAUUGCACAAUGGGCGCAAGCCUGAUGCAGCCAUGCCGCGUGUGUGAAGAAGGCCUUCGGGUUGUAAAGCACUUUCAGUCGUGAGGAAGGUAGUGUAGUUAAUAGCUGCAUUAUUUGACGUUAGCGACAGAAGAAGCACCGGCUAACUCCGUGCCAGCAGCCGCGGUAAUACGGAGGGUGCGAGCGUUAAUCGGAAUUACUGGGCGUAAAGCGCAUGCAGGUGGUUGUUAAGUCAGAUGUGAAAGCCCGGGGCUCAACCUCGGAAUAGCAUUUGAAACUGGCAGACUAGAGUACUGUAGAGGGGGUAGAAUUUCAGGUGUAGCGGUGAAAUGCGUAGAGAUCUGAAGGAAUACCGGUGGCGAAGGCGGCCCCCUGGACAGAUACUGACACUCAGAUGCGAAAGCGUGGGAGCAAACAGGAUUAGAUA